GGAAUAUGUGCUAGUCUGACGGAGCAUACCGCGUGAGGGAAGACGGCCUAUGGGUUGUAAACCUCUUUUUUCAGGGAGGAAUAAAUGACGUGUACCUGAAGAAUAAGCAUCGGCUAACUCCGUGCCAGCAGCCGCGGUAAGACGGAGGAUGCAAGUGUUAUCCGGAAUCACUGGGCGUAAAGCGUCUGUAGGUGGUUUAAUAAGUCAACUGUUAAAUCUUGAGGCUCAACCUCAAAAUCGCAGUCGAAACUAUUAGACUAGAGUAUAGUAGGGGUAAAGGGAAUUUCCAGUGGAGCGGUGAAAUGCGUAAAUAUUGGAAAGAACACCGAUGGCAAAGGCACUUUACUGGGCUAUUACUGACACUCAAAGACGAAAGCUAGGGUAGCAAAUGGGAUUAAAUACCCCCCAGUAAAAACAA
rnacentral:rRNA from 1 species